UGGACCGUAGUUCAGAGGCCGGAACGCACGCUUGAUAAGCGUGAUGUCGCAGGUUCGACUCCUGCCGGUCCAA
rnacentral:tRNA from 1 species